GACAACAUCACAGUCAAGUAGUUUUCCCCCUGUUUUCUUCUAAGAGUUCUAUGGUUUUAAUUUUAGAUUUAGAUCUAUCUUUACUUAAUUUUUGCACAUGAUGUAAAUCAAGGAUCCACCUCCAUUGUUUUGCCUGUGAAGACAGUUUUCCCAGAACCAUUGUUCAAAAGAUCAUUCUUUUCCUCAUCAAAUUAUCUUAGAACCCUUGCCAAAAGACAUAUGACAUGUGAGAUUUAUUUCUCUAUUUUAUUCUGUUUAUCUGUAUGAGAUGUCAAAUUUUGUUCUCCUUUGUCAAAAUUAUUCUGGAUAUUGAGGAUUACUAUGGAUUGGAUAAGUGUUCCCCAAAAAGCCUAUGUUUAGAGGAUUGGAUACUGGCCUAUUGGGAGGAGAUGGAACCUUUAGGAGGUAGGGUCUUGUGGAAAGAAGUUAGAUCAUUGUGGGCAUGCCCUUAAAAGUGAUAUUGAGAUCCUAAGCCCCUCAUGUCAUUUUUUUUUGCUUUCUGGAUACCAUGAGGUAAGCAGUUUCCUCUACCAGGCACACUCUGCCAUACCUCAAAGCCUAUGUAUCAGACUGAAGAAGCUGUGAACCAAAGUAAGCCUUUCCUUUUUUAGGUUGAUUAUCUUGGUGUUUUUAUAGUAAUAGAAAGCAUAAUAACACAAGGAUAACUUGAGAGUCCAUAUAAAUAUUAUGACAGGUUUUUCUAUUUCUGCCAAAAUAUAUCAUUAGGAUUUUGAUAGGGAUUAUAUUGAAUCUAUGUAUUGCUUUGGAUAGUAUUGACAUUAUAUUAAACCUCCAAUCUAUAAACAUUUUUAUUUAUUUAUGUCUUUUUAAAUUUCUUUCAGUAAUAUUUGUAGUUUUCAGUGUAUAAAUUUUGCUUUUGUGCUACCUUUGAUAAAUUCAAUUCCUGGGUAUUUCUGAUACACUUGUUAAAAAAAUUGUUUUCUUAGGGGUUGGGAAUGUAGCUCAGUUGGUAGAGUGCUUGCCUUGCAUGCACAAGGCCCUGGGUUCAAUCCCCAGUACCACCAUCAAAAAAAAAUGGGAGCUCAUAACCCACUUGAAUCAAAUUGUGAAAUAUGAUAUAUCAAGAACUAUGUAAUGUUUUG
rnacentral:lncRNA from 1 species